rnacentral:rRNA from 1 species
GAUGAACGCUGGCGGCGUGCUUAACACAUGCAAGUCGAACGGACAGGCCCUGCUCUUGUUGGGUGCUCGAGUGGCGAACGGGUGAGUAACACGUGAGUAACCUGCCCUUGACUUUGGGAUAACUUUAGGAAACUGGGGCUAAUACCGGAUAUGAGCUCCUGCUGCAUGUUGUGGGUUGGAAAGUUUCGGCGUUUGGGGAUGGCCUCGCGGCUUAUCCGCUUGUUGGUGGGGUAGUAGCUUUCCAAGGCUUUGACGGGUACGCGGCAUGAGAGGUGGUCAAGGCACUAUGGAACUGAGAUACGAUGCAUACACCUACCGGAGGAAGCAGGGGAGAAAGUUUCAGAGUGAACGGAAGCCGGAGGCAGCAACGCUGAGUGCGCGAAGAGGGUCUGCUAUUUAUAAACCGAUUUAUGCUGUGCGAAAGGGUGAUGGAGGGGAUUGGGUAAAGAAGCACCGGCUAACUACGUG